rnacentral:rRNA from 1 species
GACGAACGCUGGCGGCGUGCCUAAUACAUGCAAGUAGAACGCAGUUGCGAACGGGUGAGUAACGCGUAGGUAACUGCCUCAUAGCGGGGGACAACAAUUGGAAACGAUAGCUAAUACCGCAUACUGUGAGAUGGACCUGCGUUGUAUUAGCUAGUUGGUGAGGUAAAGGCUCACCAAGGCGAAGAUACAUAGCCGACCUGAGAGGGUGAUCGGCCAACAUUGGACCUGGACACGGGCCAAACCCCUACGGGGAGGAGCAGUAGGGAAUCUUCGGGAAUGGGCGGCAGUCCGACCGGGGAAAGCCGCGGGGGGGAAGGAGGGUUUCGGAUCGUAAAGCUUUGGUGGUAGGGAAGCGGUAACUAACCAGAAAGGGACGGCUAACUACGUGCCAGCAGCCGCGGUAAUAC